rnacentral:rRNA from 1 species
UUGGUUAAGUUAGAAAGGGCGCACGGUGGAUGCCUUGGCACUAGGAGCCGAAGAAGGACGGGACUAACACCGAUAUGCUUUGGGGAGCUGUACGUAAGCGUUGAUCCAGAGAUUUCCGAAUGGGGGAACCCACUAUCUUUAGUCGGAUAGUAUCCUUACGUGAAUACAUAGCGUGAGGAAGGCAGACCCAGGGAACUGAAACAUCUAAGUACCUGGAGGAAGAGAAAGAAAAAUCGAUUUCCUGAGUAGCGGCGAGCGAAACGGAAAGAGCCCAAACCAAGAAGCUUGCUUCUUGGGGUUGUAGGACACUCUAUACGGAGUUACAAAAGAAAGUUAUAAAUGAAGCGGUCUGGAAAGGCCCGCCAAAGACGGUAACAGCCCGGUAGUUGAAAUAGCUUUCCCUCCAGAGUGGAUCCUGAGUACGGCGGAACACGUGAAAUUCCGUCGGAAUCCGGGAGGACCAUCUCCCAAGGCUAAAUACUCCCUAGUGACCGAUAGUGAACCAGUACCGUGAGGGAAAGGUGAAAAGCACCCCGGAAGGGGAGUGAAACAGUUCCUGAAACCGUGUGCCUACAAGUAGUUAGAGCCCGUUAAUGGGUGAUAGCGUGCCUUUUGUAGAAUGAACCGGCGAGUUACGAUUUGUUGCAAGGUUAAGCGGAAAAAGCGGAGCCGUAGCGAAAGCGAGUCUGAAUAGGGCGCAUAAGUAACAGGUCGUAGACCCGAAACCAGGUGAUCUACCCAUGUCCAGGAUGAAGGUAAGGUAAUACUUACUGGAGGUCCGAACCCACGCACGUUGAAAAGUGCGGGGAUGAGGUGUGGGUAGCGGAGAAAUUCCAAUCGAACUUGGAGAUAGCUGGUUCUCUCCGAAAUAGCUUUAGGGCUAGCCUCGAGGUAAAGAGUCAUGGAGGUAGAGCACUGUUUGGACUAGGGGCCCUUCUCGGGUUACCGAAUUCAGAUAAACUCCGAAUGCCAUGUACUUAUACUCGGGAGUCAGACUGCGAGUGAUAAGAUCCGUAGUCGAAAGGGAAACAGCCCAGACCACCAGUUAAGGUCCCCAAAUAUAUGUUAAGUGGAAAAGGAUGUGGGGUUGCUUAGACAACCAGGAUGUUGGCUUAGAAGCAGCCACCAUUGAAAGAGUGCGUAAUAGCUCACUGGUCGAGUGACCCCGCGCCGAAAAUGUACCGGGGCUAAACAUAUUACCGAAACUGUGGAUGAACCUCUUUAGAGGUUCGUGGUAGGAGAGCGUUCUAAGGGCGGUGAAGUCAGACCGGAAGGACUGGUGGAGCGCUUAGAAGUGAGAAUGCCGGUAUGAGUAGCGAAAGAAGGGUGAGAAUCCCUUCCACCGAAUAUCUAAGGUUUCCUGAGGAAGGCUCGUCCGCUCAGGGUUAGUCGGGACCUAAGCCGAGGCCGAUAGGCGUAGGCGAUGGACAACAGGUAGAGAUUCCUGUACCAGUGCUAAUUGUUUAACCGAUGGGGUGACACAGAAGGAUAGGGAAUCGCACGAAUGGAAAUGUGCGUCCAAGCAGUGAGUGUGAGAAGUAGGCAAAUCCGCUUCUCGCGAAGCAUG